UUUUGUAGAUAUUAAAAAUGAUGGUUACAUGCUGCUAAUGUUUCCACUACAAAUACAAGAAAAAAGAAGGUCCUCAGGCUUUCUGUCUGUCGGGUUGUGGCAGCCAAGACUGACUGGGGGAAUACGGGA
rnacentral:snoRNA from 1 species